AUCCAGCUGACGAAUCCCGAAUAGGAACAAACGCGCGUCCUGUAU
rnacentral:hammerhead_ribozyme from 1 species